rnacentral:lncRNA from 1 species
ACGAUUUUGGAUCGUCGCUAAAUUACAAGAAGGAUUUUGAAGAAAACCCGCGAUAUUAGCGACGAUAUGUAUAUAUCGUCGCUGAUUAUCUUUUUUUUUGUUUAAUUAGCGAUGAUAUGUUGAUGAUCGUCGUUAGAUAUAACAUUUAGCGACGAUUUAAAAUUUAUCAUCGCUAAUAAUGCGGACCUAUUUAUAAAAUUUUAAAAGAAUAAGGUAUUAAUGUAAAAUGACCCUUUAAACAACCCCCAAUUUCACACUUCACCCCCAAUUUCACUCCCAAACCUUAAACCCUAAACCAUCCACCCCCAAUUUCUCCUCUCGCCGGAUUUUCCUAUUCAUUCUAAAUAGCCGGUUUUCGCCGAUCAUCAUCAACGGAUUUCGCCGGAUUUCUCCUCUCGCCGGUUUUCGCCGAUCAUCAUCAACGGAUUUCGCCGGAUUUCUCCUCUCGCCGGAUUUCGCCAAUCUGUUAUAGAAGCACAAUCUGUUCAUCAUUCUUAAAAGCUGCAAUCAAGUAAGUUUAUUACACUCUGAGCUCAAUAUUUUUCUAUCUUUUCCUUCUCUUCUUUGCUGUUCUUUUUACAAUAAUUUUUUCCCUGCACCGGAGUAAUCACUCAUGAGUCAUGAGAAAAUAUUUUGAUAUCUUCUUGUAGUUGUUUCUCUACCGAAUAAAAAUACCAAAGAAAAAUCACAAAGAAAUUUCACUUGAUUUAAAUUGAUAUAAUUUUUAUUCAUAAUUUAGCAAACUAAAGCAUAAUGCAAGAAACAACACAAACCCAAAAUUAUUGCUCCUAAACACUGGAUAUUGACGGGGUAACUAUUGCCUUAAAAUCUAUCAUUUGAGAAAAAUUUGAGGGACCAGAUUUGCAGCAGAGUAUGCAUAGAUGUAUGUCAAAUAAUCAGAAAAAAUGCCAUCAUAUGCUGGCAGGCUUCAAAUGGAAUAAUAAGCUAUAAUAUAUGUGGGUUUAUGAAGUCCAUUUGUUCAGGAAUUCAGCUAUGACAUUCCUAGACGAGUGAUGGAUAAGAAUUGGAAAAACUUAGAAUUUCCUAUGGAGAAGUGGCAAACUCCUUCCUUCACAUGCAAUCAUAUAUGUAGAUUUACAAAUUUCAGCUAGAAAAUCCCUAAAGUGAUAAAUAAGAUCAGGUAAUUAAUUUGCAUUUUCUAUGGGGAAGGGGGGAUUUCAUUCCUUGGAAGAUCAGUCAAUAAAGGAGGAUCAGAUCUCAGCAAGGUUUAAAAUGUGCUAAGGUGCAGUAUGCUAGCACCAUGCACCUUAUGAUAUCUUGGGGAACAAGCAUGCCUAAUGC